rnacentral:rRNA from 1 species
AGUGAACGCUGGCGGUAGGCCUAACACAUGCCAGUCGAACGGCAGCACAGUAAGAGCUUGCUCUUACGGGUGGCGAGUGGCGGACGGGUGAGGAAUACAUCGGAAUCUACUUUUUCGUGGGGGAUAACGUAGGGAAACUUACGCUAAUACCGCAUACGACCUACGGGUGAAAGCAGGGGAUCUUCGGACCUUGCGCGAUUGAAUGAGCCGAUGUCGGAUUAGCUAGUUGGCGGGGUAAAGGCCCACCAAGGCGACGAUCCGUAGCUGGUCUGAGAGGAUGAUUAGCCACACUGGAACUGAGACACGGUCCAGACUCCUGCGGGAGGCAGCAGUGGGGAAUAUUGGACAAUGGGCGCAAGCCUGAUCCAGCCAUACCGCGUGGGUGAAGAAGGCCUUCGGGUUGUAAAGCCCUUUUGUUGGGAAAGAAAAGCAGCAGGUUAAUACCCCGCUGUUCUGACGGUACCCAAAGAAUAAGCACCGGCUAACUUCGUG